CCUAAGUGGUGGAGCGAACGUGCUAAGAAGAACCUGGCCCUGACAGCCCAGAUACAGGAUUACAAGACUAAUAAAGUCAUAGUGGCUGACAGCGUGCGAGAGGAGUGGAUCUAUGUCUGCAUUGAGGGUAACUGUCAAGUAAUCCGAUGUCUGGAGAUGGACAAGAAAGAAGAGUUAUCUGCCCUUGCCAUCCGACGCCGAUCAACUGUUUUGCUGUCUGACGAAAUUUUGGACCUGCUUGGAAGUUUCCCGGAAAGCAAGUCAGCCCAAGAGAAGACUCGGCGCCAGUCUGGAAUUGUUGGACCCAACUCGACGAAGGAGAAGCUUCUGGGCUCGCUCGGUCUCGACUAUGUCGACACAGGGAGG